CUAAGGAGCACUUCUCCACGAUGCGUCACACAAGUGAUUGUGGUCGUGGCAGAGGCCAUUUCGGACUCGAAUGUAGUCCGGUGGUUGCUCAUGGGUGGAACGCUGACAUGUGCCGCUGGCUUCGGUUGGUGGAUGUAGUCGACACACUGUUGGGUCCUGAAAGAACAGACGUUCUUUCCAGGCAAGAGAUACGAUCCGCUCGGGUCUUCGGUCAUACCGGCUUCGCCUUUCGGGGUGGGGUGCUGGUGCCGAGUCGAGGUUUGAGUGGGUGUGUUGUUUGAGAACUGCACAGUGGACGCGAGCAUCUUUGUUUGUAAGUGUUUAAGAGCGUUC
rnacentral:misc_RNA from 1 species